rfam:Triticum aestivum genome assembly, contig: Triticum_aestivum_CS42_TGACv1_scaffold_556680_7AL
GUGGCUGUAGUUUAGUGGUGAGAAUUUCACGGUGUGGCCGUGGAGACUUGGUCUCAAAUCUCAGCAGCCACA